GAUGAACGCUAGCGGCAGGCCUAAUACAUGCAAGUCGAACGAGAUUAAGGAGCUUGCUCCUUAUGAAAGUGGCGCACGGGUGCGUAACGCGUAUGCAACCUACCUUAAUCAGGGGGAUAGCCCGAAGAAAUUCGGAUUAACACCGCAUAAAAACACAGGAUAGCAUUAUCCAAUGUUCAAAUAUUUAUAGGAUUAAGAUGGGCAUGCGUGUCAUUAGCUAGUUGGCGGGGUAACGGCCCACCAAGGCGACGAUGACUAGGGGAUCUGAGAGGAUGACCCCCCAGACUGGUACUGGAACACGGACCAGACUCCUACGGGAGGCAGCAGUAAGGAAAAUUGGUCAAUGGAGGCAACUUUGAACCAGCCAUGCCGCGUGCAGGAAGACUGCCCUAUGGGUUGUAAACUGCUUUUAUCCGGGAAUAAACCUAAUUACGUGUAAUUAGCUGAAUGUACCGGAAGAAUAAGGAUCGGCUAACUCCGUGCCAGCCGCCGCAGUAAUAC
rnacentral:rRNA from 1 species